UCCGUCUCACGCUUUAUGACUGCUGGGAAAGGCUCCAACCCACCCAUGACCCUUAACUGGAAUAAACAGGUUUGGAAAAUGAAUGAAGAAAUGACUAAACUUGA